GGGACACCAAACAUCGCUCCUGCUGAUCACGCCGCUCUGGCCGAGCCAGGCCUGGUUCCCGGACCUAUUGUGUGACGAAAGCACCUUAAUCACUGGGAUUUGUAGAGGCCUGCUUGCCAGCCUCUUGCCCUGUUGUGAACUUUUGGACUAAAAACCCUGUUCGUGCCUUUUUCCGUGCUAUGGGCCUUACCGAAUGGAUUAGGCUUAGGGUGUUUGUUUACCGAAAAAACUGUUGAACAGCCGAAUCACCCGCAAGUGGAGUGUGCAGCCUGUUAACCUCCCAGAAGCUGUGGUUAACCGCAGCUUAAUUAA